rnacentral:rRNA from 1 species
CCGAAUUCGUCGACAACAGAGUUUGAUCAUGGCUCAGAUUGAACGCUGGCGGCAGGCCUAACACAUGCAAGUCGAACGGUAACAGGAAGCAGCUUGCUGCUUCGCUGACGAGUGGCGGACGGGUGAGUAAUGUCUGGGAAACUGCCUGAUGGAGGGGGAUAACUACUGGAAACGGUAGCUAAUACCGCAUAACGUCGCAAGACCAAAGAGGGGGACCUUCGGGCCUCUUGCCAUCGGAUGUGCCCAGAUGGGAUUAGCUUGUUGGUGGGGUAACGGCUCACCAAGGCGACGAUCCCUAGCUGGUCUGAGAGGAUGACCAGCCACACUGGAACUGAGACACGGUCCAGACUCCUACGGGAGGCAGCAGUGGGGAAUAUUGCACAAUGGGCGCAAGCCUGAUGCAGCCAUGCCGCGUGUAUGAAGAAGGCCUUCGGGUUGUAAAGUACUUUCAGCGGGGAGGAAGGGAGUAAAGUUAAUACCUUUGCUCAUUGACGUUACCCGCAGAAGAAGCACCGGCUAACUCCGUGCCAGCAGCCGCGGUAAUACGGAGGGUGCAAGCGUUAAUCGGAAUUACUGGGCGUAAAGCGCACGCAGGCGGUUUGUUAAGUCAGAUGUGAAAUCCCCGGGCUCAACCUGGGAACUGCAUCUGAUACUGGCAAGCUUGAGUCUCGUAGAGGGGGGUAGAAUUCCAGGUGUAGCGGUGAAAUGCGUAGAGAUCUGGAGGAAUACCGGUGGCGAAGGCGGCCCCCUGGACGAAGACUGACGCUCAGGUGCGAAAGCGUGGGGAGCAAACAGGAUUAGAUACCCUGGUAGUCCACGCCGUAAACGAUGUCGACUUGGAGGUUGUGCCCUUGAGGCGUGGCUUCCGGAGCUAACGCGUUAAGUCGACCGCCUGGGGAGUACGGCCGCAAGGUUAAAACUCAAAUGAAUUGACGGGGGCCCGCACAAGCGGUGGAGCAUGUGGUUUAAUUCGAUGCAACGCGAAGAACCUUACCUGGUCUUGACAUCCACGGAAGUUUUCAGAGAUGAGAAUGUGCCUUCGGGAACCGUGAGACAGGUGCUGCAUGGCUGUCGUCAGCUCGUGUUGUGAAAUGUUGGGUUAAGUCCCGCAACGAGCGCAACCCUUAUCCUUUGUUGCCAGCGGUCCGGCCGGGAACUCAAAGGAGACUGCCAGUGAUAAACUGGAGGAAGGUGGGGAUGACGUCAAGUCAUCAUGGCCCUUACGACCAGGGCUACACACGUGCUACAAUGGCGCAUACAAAGAGAAGCGACCUCGCGAGAGCAAGCGGACCUCAUAAAGUGCGUCGUAGUCCGGAUUGGAGUCUGCAACUCGACUCCAUGAAGUCGGAAUCGCUAGUAAUCGUGGAUCAGAAUGCCACGGUGAAUACGUUCCCGGGCCUUGUACACACCGCCCGUCACACCAUGGGAGUGGGUUGCAAAAGAAGUAGGUAGCUUAACCUUCGGGAGGGCGCUUACCACUUUGUGAUUCAUGACUGGGGUGAAGUCGUAACAAGGUAACCGUAAGCUUGGAUCCCGGG